rnacentral:rRNA from 1 species
UGCGUAGGCGGUUCUGUGUGUCAGAUGUGAAAUCUCACCGUCCAACGGUGAAACUGCAUUUGAAACUACAGGACUAGAGUACAGGAGGGGAGAGCGGAAUUCUCGGUGUAGCGGUGAAAUGCGUAGAUAUCGAGAAGAACGCCGGUGGCGAAGGCGGCUCUCUGGACUGAUACUGACGCUGAGGCACGAAAGGUUGGGGGAGCGAACA